GAUGAACGCUGGCGGCGUGCCUAAUACAUGCAAGUCGAGCGAACAGACGAGGCUCUUGCUCCUCUGACGUUAGCCGCGGACGUGUGAGUAACACGUGGAUAACCUACCUAUCAGACUGAGAUAACUUCGGGAAACCGGAGCUAAUCCCGGAUAAUCUAUUGAACCGCAUUGUUCAAUGGUGAAAGACGGUUUUGCUGGCACUUAUCGAUGGAUCUCGGCCGCUUUGGAUAGUUGGUAAGUUAACGGCUUACCAAGGCUACGAUGCGUAACCGACGGGAGAGGGGGGUAGCCCGCAUGGGAGCGGGACCAGGGUCAUGGCUCCUGAGGGAGGCACCAGUAGGGAAUCGUCCGCAGUGGGCGAAAGCCUGACGGAGCAACGCCGCGUGAGUGAUGAAGGUCUUCGGAGCGUAAAACUCUGUUAUUAGGGAAGGACAAAUGUGUAAGUAACUAUGCACGGCUUGACGGUACCUAAUCAGAAAGCCACGGCUAACUACGUG
rnacentral:rRNA from 1 species